UACCUGGACGACUUGUGACGCUGAGGCGCGAAAGCGUGGGGAGCAAACCGGAUUAGAUACCCGGGUAGUCCACGCCUUAAACCAUGAGUGCUAGGGUGUCCGGCUUCUGCUGGGUGCCGUAGCUAACGCGCUAAGCACUCCGCCUGGGAAGUACGCACGCAAGUGUGAAACUCAAAGGAAUUGACGGGGGCCCGCACAAGCGGUGGAGCAUGUGGUUUAAUUCGAAGCGACGCGAAGAACCUUACCAGGCCUUGACAUGCCCGGAACCCCUCUGAAAGGAGGGGGUGCCCGCAAGGGAGCCGGGACACAGGUGCUGCAUGGCCGUCGUCAGCUCGUGUCGUGAGAUGUUGGGUUAAGUCCCGCAACGAGCGCAACCCCUAUCCCUAGUUGCCAGCAGUUCGGCUGGGCACUCUAUGGAGACUGCCUGCGAAAGCAGGAGGAAGGCGGGGAUGACGUCUGGUCCGCAUGGCCCUUACGGCUUGGGCGACACACGUGCUACAAUGCCAAGGACA
rnacentral:rRNA from 1 species